GAGCGCACGAACGACCACCAUCGCCAUCACCAUCACCGCCACGUCUAGGAACGUGUCUCUGUCUCUGUCUUUCCUCUGUUGAUUGGCACACCCCACACCAUGACAACCCUCUUCAAGGAUUACAACAAGGGCACCACCGACCUGCUGACGAAGAACUUUUCCAGCUGCGGCGAGUGGAAGGUCGAGAGCAAGGGCAAGGCCCCCAGAGGUGCGUACGCCCUCACGACCACCUCCAACACCCACGGCAGCGUGAACGUGGAUAUUGAGGGGUUGACGGACAGCGGUGCCUAUUAUGGCAAGCUCACCUUCGCGUCGAGGGACCUCACCGACGUCAAGGUCACCGUCCGCGCCGAGGACUUCGAUAACCACCGCGUGGAGGCCAUCAUUGGCCACAAGGGCCCGGCUCUGUGCGAUAUAUCGGUGGAAGUCAACCACCAGACGAUGAGGCCGAUAGCGGGUGGCCGCCUGAGCAUCAACGACAAGUUCACGCAGAAGGCCGUGGAGUUGGCGCUCAGCAUGGCCACCGUUGACGGUGUUCAGGUCGGCUGCGGCACCAAGUAUGACCUCAAGUCGCAGACAAUCGACUGGACGGCGGCGUGCCGCCUGGAGGCCAAGAACGGUCUUGUGCUGACGGCGCAGACGAACCGGUUGCUCGACCUCACGGCGAGCAUGGUUUCCAAGGCCCCGCUGCACCCCAAGUUCCAGCCGUGCGUGGCAGCCACCAUGACGAUGAACCCGCAAUCGAUGACAUGGGACGGCUCCAUGGCAGUGGAGUGGGGUUGCCAGGUGAUUCUCGGCAACACGGCCAAGGUCCGCGUCAACAAGAACCUCGACUGGAUCGCCUCGUACAUCGCCAACCUGCGUGGCGGCUGGACGUUGGUACUGUCAAUAGACAAGACCAUGAAGGCGGGUCUGACGCUCACUCGCAACUGAUCAGCGCGUGAGCGUGUGGAGUCCACUACGCACGCGGCAUCAAGGGUUGCGGCGCACGCAGAUGUGUCUGUGCCCGUCUUGCGCCGUCGUGCGCAUCGGCCUCGAGGGUGCUCACGGUUUUAUUGCGGCUCUAGCCCCGCCACAUCGGUUACUCGUCACACGUCUUUCCGCCCACUCGACCUUCUUCGGAAGGCGUCUUCGUUUUACUGCCUUUUCCCUUUUCCCUGAUACCGCUGAUGUGUGCGCGUUUUUGUGUGGAUCUGCCUCGCUUGCUGGCGUCUUGCUCUUGCCGACGCGUGCUCUCCUCCGAUUGUGCGCAUGCGGUGUGGCGCAGCCUCACCGCAUCUUCGGUAUUGCGCGUCUCUGGAGGUGCGUGUGCGUGUGUGUGUGCGUGUGGAUGCUUACCUCUGUCGUCCUGCGUUGAUACAUACAUCUAUCUGUAUAUGCUUUCACGUCAUCUGCCCAUCGGGCCCGAAGAGGGUGGUACAGUCAACCUCUGCGCGCGCGAUGGACGGCUGCACGUGCGCACUGCGUCUUCUUAAGCGCAUAGGAACAUCUAUCUAUCUCUGCAUCACUCUCACUCGCUCGCUCUCUAUAGAUGCGUGUGUGCGUGUGUGUGUGUGUGUGUGUGCAUAUAUAGGGAGUGAGUUGGAUAGGGGCGGCGUUGAUGAUGGCCAUGCAUGUGUGCCGCGUCUGCGUCUGGGAAGAGCGCAGUCGUACCUUUUCCUUUUCCGCUGCCCACACGCAAAAAGAAAAGGAAGUGGGGGGGGGGAGUGGAGGAGAGCGGGGGAGGGCGAGUAACGAGCGGAAGGCGUGUCUGUGUGUGUGUGCGCGUGUGCUUGAUGUCAUAGCUCGACUCGCCCACGAUGCCGUUUCGAAGACGCGCUCCAUCCGUCUCUGAUGCCCUCGCACCCCUGCCCACGGCACACACAUGUGCGCGUAUUAUCGGCGUUGGCGUGAGGGAAGGACGGGCGUGAGGGAUCGCGUGUUCGAGUCGUCGUGUCGCGUCGUCCGUUCACCUGCGCGCGCGCCGGAUGUGCGUGUGCUGCUUCCUUCGCUCUUGUACAAACGCACGCGUACAGGCGUGCCUCAGCAGGUCCCCUCCCUCCCUCUUGUGCUUCCGGUUAAGUUCCUGCGCUGCGGUCUUCAACUUAUUCGCGGUGGAGCGAGCAGACGGAAGCGGCGCGGCGGCAGGAAGGGAAGGCAAACCCGUCGAUGCAACCGCAUUCACUUAAACAAAAGGGAGGGAGAUAGUCGCCAUGCGCCGCUCGCCCAUCCGCCUCGCACGGCGCGCGCGUGUGGACUCGCUGCACAUCUCUUCUUCUUCGCAUUUGCUGCGACCCGUUCUUCAGCCUACCAGCGCUCU
rnacentral:misc_RNA from 1 species